AAGGUGGUUGCGUGACACGUACAGCCUUUAGUAACGGGCAUGAGGAAACCUGUUGGGUGUCUGCCUUUUGUAUCUCUCACUUGCUCUCAUUUUGGAUGUGCACAUCUCAGUACAGCUCUGUAUGAAUGCAGGAGUUUCUUCAAGCUGCCUCUGACCUGCAGGGUUUUGCAUAAUUUACAAGUUAAGAAUUGAAUUUCUUUUAAUUCAUAAGUUUGAGUUAGAAUUGGUCCACCAUGGUUAAACAAGUCUUCAUUUUAUUUUCCUUCAAUUUAAAUUCAAAUUGCAGUUCUGCAUCUUGUUUACUUUCUCAGUCAAAUUCAAGAAGUCAAUAGGAUUUUUUCGAGCAUCAGUCCAAGAAAAGAUUCAGCAUGUGUUAAUGGCUUAAACAUGGCCAAAUAUUUUGUGCUAAAUGCAGUUUGCAUGGCACAACUCAUUGUCUUGUAGGUUGGCGUUUAGGAGUGGAGCAUUUUUUGAAAACAUAAUUUACAGCGCAACAACCAAUAAAAUUGUACUAUAGGUAUUAAAUAAUAUGUAGAAUGAUUUAACAACAAAAAUACACUAUCAUAUUCCCGUAGCAGAAUAUAAUAAACAGGUAGAAUGAUUUAUAUCAGAUUUGAUAAUCUGAUGGGUAGGAUGACAUUUCAGGAGAUCUGCAACAUUUUUCUACUGCAUAAAAGCUUUAUGGUUUAUCUACGAGCUUUACCUGAUGAAAGAAGUCACUGCAACACUGGUUUGUGCGCGCGGCGCGCGUGUGUUUGUUUGGCACUUGGCGGGUCCGGAACGAAUUCCCUCUCGGUCCGUAUCCACAGAUUGAUCGUCUGCGCAACGUUGCAUGAAGUCAAACACACCCGAUAUUAUAGGUUAUCGCGAUUAUUUUAAAUUUGAUUAUCCAUAAAAAAAAUUAAACACAUCGCCCAGCCCUGAUCUGUCUAUUCCUGUGGCUUGGCAGUGGGUAACCCUGCCCAUAGUGGAAUCUCAUUGGUUUGAAUUUGCAUUAAACAUCCACAAGUGCUUAGGUGAAAUAUUCCAAGAAAAUCCAAGAAAAUUUGUCCAAAAAAUGAACGCAUUAAAAGGAAUUCAAAAUGCAAAAAAUGCACCUUUAAAGAAUAAUCAUUGCAGCAGAGAAAAUGUUACGUUUACAAUGUUCUGUGCAGUAAAUGCAUGCGAUCUCAUUCAGUAUGUAAGUUGCCGGAGGGGGAAUCGGUCUGCAUCUGCUAUCUCUUGCUGUGAAGAUCAGGGUUGUCUUCUAUACAUGCUGUCUGUCGCUGUGAUGGGGACAGAUUGUUGGCAUUUUCUCUGCACCGUAAGUAUAUCAUCUGUGUAAAAGCUGCACUUGUUUACUUCCAUCACACCAUCAACUCUACCUCUCUCCAGACCAGUCAGAUUUGAGUGUGUCGUGUCAAAUGUAUCACGGAAAGGUUCUGAAGAGAUGGAGACAGAAAAUGACAUGUUCCCAACACAGAUCUCUAAUGUUUUUCUGUAAUGGAAUUGUUGGGUCAAUAGAUGAUUUGAAAUAAUGCGUACGAGUCAUAGACCACUUUUACGGUUCAUAUAGUCAACACCCCCUCAAAUCUGAUUGGAUGAUAGGCGUUCCAAGUGUACACAUUGGGCACUUUACUAUGUUGUAUCAGUCCACCAGAGUCAAUCAUUUACACCUGUCUUUUAUCUUUGUUACUCCAGUGGCUUCUAGGUUUUAAAUCCAAAGUGUAAGAAAGCACCUUCACACACAAGGGUUUUGGAGCACUUGGUAGAGCUUCGUUCCUUGGAAACAUUGAGCACACAGAAGGUCUCCUGUGUUCCAAAAGUCAUGCAGGUUUGGAACAAAAUGAGAAUGAUAUUGAAGUAAAUGAUAUUAAAAUGUCAAUUUUUAGGUGACCUGACCAGAACACGAAAGCAGAAGGCAUCCAUGUGAAUGUUUGAUACUAGAUCAAAAUGGGAUUAUAGAGAUUACAGCUGCUUCAGAUUAGAGCACUCUGGGUUAUUUUACUCCCCCUCCUCUUGCAACUAGACUUCACGUACACUGUAAAAAAAGUCUGUGAAAACUACAGUAAAAAACUCUAAAACAGCAACAGUAAAAUAUUUUUUAAAGCUAAAUAGUAUAUCACCGUAUUGCAUACAUUAAAUUACCAUAAUUUAAGAAACAGUACAUACAUUUUAUUUUUACUCUCUUAAUAUGUAAAAAACACAGAUUCUUACAGUAAAAUUUUUAAUUUUUGGUGAAAUUAAUGGGAAAAUACUGGGCCUUUACAAACAAGGAAUUACCUUAAAAACAAUGGUAUUAUUCUGUGCAAAUUACACAUUUUCUUAAUGUGUACUGUAGAAUAUACAAUAUAAAACUGUUUAAAAUCCAACAAACACAUACCUUAAAUCCUACAGUAACAAGAUGUUAAACAUAUGUUUAUCUUUUUGUCAAUUUUAGUUAAAACUUUAAAUACUCUGUAAUUUACUGUACUUUUGUGUAUUGUUCUUUUAUUUAUCUAAUCUGAUAGUUAAUGCUAAUUGCAAUGAAAACAAAACGAAUGUCUUGAAGAAAGUCAAGAAAUAAUUUUAUCAUAGCUAUUCUAAAAAGAUAUUUUCCACCUUAUUUCAUAAUUACCACAACUAGACUAUGAAUAGGAUGAACAAAGCAAAAAUGUUCAAACAAGAAAAAAACUUGACCAUUUUAAAACAAUUAUGAAACUGUGUUUUUAUUAGUGGUGCUUGCGAAAUGGCAUUUGAAAUAAUAAUAAAAAGCGUGAACAAACGAAGAAACACACAAGAGGAAGAAGAUCGUCUCCCCGCUUCUAAGAUUAGGCCUGUGAAUUGCGCAGCGCGACCUGCAUGCGGCAAGUGGUGAGUACUCCUUUGGCUACUUUUUCACGGGGUAAUUUGCAAAUUGCAAAGCUAAAGUAACAGAUUAUCGUGCACUGCUAACGCAAAGUGUAAUUCUGAUGCCUUGUCAACUUGCAUUUAAGCUUGCGUUUUCAAAUCACUUAAAUUAAGGUUACGUGGUAACUCGCUAAUGAAAAAUGUGCUUAAAAACUCAUACACUGCUAAUGCGAAGUGUACUUUUGACGUCUUUUAAUCUUCUUUUAAUCCAUUUCUUGGCUUACUUUUAAAAAUGCUUAAGAGAGCACGACAAUUCAUUAAUAACGUUAACGGUCGAUGUCGUUUUAUAUUUCAAUCAGCGCCAUUUUAGCGCGCCAAGCAGCUGCUUUUGGAAUACCAUCCUCGUCCAUCCUUUUGAUUUCUGGGAGUUCAACAUUUCUUUUCGAGGUAAGCCAAACAAUACUGUUACAAACUAAAAAGUUAAAGUUAUUUAUUUUCCUUUCGUUGUUGUUAUUUAACCAGUUUUGGCUAUGUUUAGUUGCAAUUUCUGUGGCAAGUCGGUCAAAUCAUUGAGGGGGUAUGUACUUCAUUUUAAACUUCAUCGACUUCAUGUGACAUCAAAGAGUGGUGAGAUUUUUAAUUACUUUUAAAGACAUAUUUUUGCCAUAUAUGCUUUGUUGAACUUUUUGUUGAAUUUGGUCUUAUUCAGGAACAAAUGUAUUUUCUUUUAUCUCCUUUUCUUAUGUUACAAGAGGCUGUAUGCGACAGGGACCUCAUCAAUCUCUUUUUCUUCUGGAAAAUUCACGGGAUUGGCAAGUUUCUGAGCUUUAAGGAUCAUGUCAACACCUGAUCAUUGUAACCUGUCUGCAAGAGACUCUGUCCCACCUCUCUUCAGUCAAGUCUGGACCCAGUAAUUCAGACACCUCAAGGAUAAUUAAUGAAAGAUGAAGAAAAUGGCAGUCCAUGAAGUACUACAUUUCCAGUUUCUCGAACUGAUUUAGUGCCAUGUCUUCAGUCAGGUGUGGACUUAUUAUUAUUGUUCAAACAGAGCAAGUGGCCCUGGUUUACUUUUAUAUAUGGACACAUUUUAUUUCCAAGCUCAACAUUGUGAGUACACUGCAAGUUAUUGAAUCAGCUCAAACUGUUUUAACACAGUGUCAGUAUGCAAAAACGGGUUUUUUUUUGCAUACUGUUAAUGAUCUGUUAAUGAUAAUUUGUGUGUUGAUUGACUGCAUUUAUUACCUCAUUUAGUAAUUUACAAUAACCUGACUGACUGUUGUAAAAUCUAUGGCAACCACUUGUAAUGCCUUUUGUGUUAUACCGUAUUUUUUGCGAUGAAAUUCUGGCAACCACAGCUGCCAGUAAUUUUCUGUAAAAUUGAAGUUUACAAUAAAAUACUAUAAUAUUUCAUACGGUUGAAUUGUGUUUAUUACGGAGAUAGACUAUAAUUACUAUUAAAGAAAUUUACACUUGCAACUGCUAUUUUUAAAGUAAAUCACUGUAAACAGGUUUACAUUACAUCUGUUUUAUUUAACAGUAGUGUACCGUAAACAAGCAGCAAUUCGCUACUGUAAAAUUUACGGUUGCAAAAAAGCAUUCUGUAAAGUGUUCCACAUUGUAACCUUAUAUUUUACGGUGAACUUCUGGCAACCACAGCUGCCGGUAUUUUACCGUAUAUUACACAUGUUUUUUUUUACAGUGUACUGUAUAAACUAAACUGUACUGUAAAACCUCCUAUUUCUACUUGUACAUAGAAAACUAGAAUUUACAGCUUUAUUGUGUACAGAGAUUAAAUUAAGGCUCCCAAAAUUCAGGGCACGGGACAAAAAUAGAGUUUUGAUUUUGCUUCACUCAGGAAAGUUAUACAAUUUCUCAUUCGAUUAAUCCCGGAUUUAAUUCAAUCCAGAGUUUCCCAAAAUAGCCCUGGUCUUCGACCUGCUGUUUCAGAUUUUAAUCACAGCAACACCUGGCAUGGCACGGGCUCCCGGUGCCAUCAUCUCCAUCCUGGCGACUGCUCUGCCAACCCACGCAUCUUCAACUGUGCCCAGCAUCAUUAUCAGCGUGUCAGACGCUCGGGCAGAAUGCGCAUCCCAACAGCUGGCUGAGUGCAGGCAUGCAUUACUUUACCAUUUGUGCAACAGACCCAUGUUAAAUACUAUAUAGAAGCAUUUACUAUUGCUCACUGUACAGCUGUGUAUGGUUUCAUCAGAACGUCGUAAAUAAACAUUUGAGUUUGAAUCGCAUAAUGUCGUUAAUUGUUCAAAACCUAAAGACUUUGUGUCUGAUGACAUUGUGCUUGUUUGUGUGCAUAUUUUUGGAUGACAUGAAAACUGUAAUGUUUUAGGGGCAUGUCAUUGGUGCCU